rnacentral:lncRNA from 1 species
UCAGUCUCAAAAAAAAAAGCCUGGUUGGUCUGCAAUAAAUUUUGAAUAAAUGAAUAAGUUCAUAUACACAAAGAUAUUAGUUCCUCUGGCUCCAUUUUUUUCUGUUGUCCAAAACAAGUAUCUAAGCAUAUCACUCCCCUGCUCAAAAAACACAAGUCAUUCUCCAGUGUGUUCAUAAUCAAGUCUAAUCUUUCUCCUUACCACAUUCUCCAAGGGCCUCCAAGUCUGGCCUCAAACUCUUCCUUUUCUCCCCCUUCCAUUAAAGUGACCCUGGACAACCUGACAUUCCCACCUACAAGUCCUACACAUUCCCAUCUCCAGGCACAAAUGUCCCUCUUCAAUGACCUGCCCAGGAACUACUCUAUACCAGGGGUUGGGCUAAGAUUUGGGUACUGCCCUAGGCCCUCAGAUGCCUCCGGCCCCUGAAGCUUUCUCUGAUUUCUUCAGUUUCCCUCUUAGAGUUGCAAACGCAAAGCCCUCUGUUUAUAUUCACUUUUAUCUCUUAUAUACGUGCAUUAUAUUUACAGACUAUUCCCUUUCCCUCACUAACCUGUAAACCCCUCGAGGGCAAGCACUGGACCAAUUCAUUCCAAAUUCCCAGCUUCAAGUACAGCACCUGGCACACUGCGAGUGCUCAAAAUGAUUAUUUUAUUAACAAAUAAUAAUAAUAACAUGGAGAUUUAAGAACGUCCACUGCCGGAAACUAGACCAACAGCUAAAGGAAUGGAUGCUUUCAUUAUACGCCAUGGUGUGGUUCUCCUUUCAACAGGAAUUAGAGCUUCAUCCUCCUCCCCUGGAAGGUGCACUGAAUUUCGUGACUUGCUUUUGAUGAACAGAAUGUGGUAAAAGUGACAGUGUGUGACCUCUGAGAUUGAGUCAUAAAAGGCAUGGUGGCAUCUUCCUUGCUCUCUCUCUGAUUACCUGCUCUGGAGGAAGCUGGCUGCUAUGUCAUAAAAACACUUAAGCAGCCCAAUGGAGGAGGCCAUGCUUGAGGAACCAAGGCCCCUGCCAUAGCUGUGUGAGUGAACCAUCUUGGAACUGGAUCUUCAAGUUCCAAACAAGCUUUUGGAUGACUGCAGCCCUGGAGGACAUCUUGACUGUAACCUCCUAAGAGACUCUGAGCCAGAAUCACCCAGCUAAACUGCUCCUGAAUUCCUGUCCACAGAAAUUGUGAGAUAUGUCUUUGCAGAUAUAGUUAGUCAAGAUGAAGUCCUAAUGGAUUAGGAUGGGCCCAAAUUUCAAGGCCUUAUGCCAUGAGAAGACCCAGAGACACACACAAGAGGAAGGCCAUGUAACAGUGAAGUCAGAGGUUGGAGUGAUGGAGCUGUAAGCCAAGAAAGGCCAAGGAUUGCUGGCAACCACCAGAGGCUGGAAGAGGCAAGGAAGGUUCUUCCCUAGAACCUUCAGAGGGUGCAUGGCCCUGCUGGCACUUUGGUUUUAGACUCCUGGCUUGCAGAACACAAGGAAAUAAAUUUCUGUUGCUUUAAACCACCCAGUUUGUGAUACUUUGUUGAGGCAGCCCAAGGUAACUAAUAUAACUAGUGCACGUCUUAUUUCUCCUUUCUAAUUUUCACAGUGGUCCUUCAAAUUAAAUAGGAUUAGCUCCUUUGGUAAGUGAGAUGCUGAGAUUCAGCAGUUUGCCUGAGUCUUACAGUGAGGGAAGCUCCAACUGGGGUAUGAAGCCCGUCUCCAGAGGCUGCGCUCUGUCCACUGCUCCUUCCCAACUGGCCUCAUUCUAUCAUGCACUUGAUCUCUGUAACUGCUGGCAACCACUUGUUCCCUUAAAGGCUGUGUGUUCCAUCAAAGUUGGGUUUUUUGCGUGUGUUUUUGUUUUGUUUUGUUUCGUUGGUUUUUUUGAGACGGAGUCUCACUCUGUCGCCCAGGCUGGAGGGCAAUGGCACCAUCUCGGCUCACUGCAACCUCCACUUCCUGGAUUCAAGCUAGUGAAUCCUGCCUCAGCCUCCCG